rnacentral:rRNA from 1 species
AGUCGAACGGGCCAUUACUCUUUGGAGUGAUGGUUAGUGGCGAACGGGUGAGUAAAAGGUAGGGACCUACCCCGAGGACAGAGAUAGCUACUGGAAACGGUAGGUAAACUCUGAUAAGCCCGAGAGGGGAAAGUGGAAGGCAGCCUUGGGAUGGACCUACUAUCCAUCAGGUAGUUGGUGAGGUAAAGGCUCACCAAGCCGAUGACGGAUAACCGGUGUGAGAGCAUGUACGGUCACAAGGGCACUGAGACACGGGCCCUACUCCUACGGGAGGCAGCAGUGGGGAAUAUUGGACAAUGGGCGAAAGCCUGAUCCAGCGACGCCGCGUGAAGGAAGAAGUCCUUCGGGAUGUAAACUUCUGAACUAAUCGAAUAAAAGGGUAGUGGACACACUACAGAAGAAGGUAGAUUAGGAAAAGUCCCGGCUAACUACGUGCCAGCAGCCGCGGUAAGACGUAGGGGGCGAGCGUUGCCCGGAAUCACUGGGUGUAAAGGGGACGUAGGCGGAUGAUCAAGUCAUCUGUGAAAAGAUUGCUCAACGAUUGGCUUGCGGAUGAAACUGGUCAUCUUGGGCGUAGCAGAGGUAGACGGAAUUACCUGAGUAGGGGUGAAAUCCGCAGAUACAGGUAAGAACGCCGGUGAAGAAGUUGGUCUACUAGGCUACAGCUGACGCUGAGGUCCGAAAGCCAGGGGAGCGAACCGGAUUAGAUACCCGGGUAGUCCUGGCUGUAAACGAUGCUCACUAGGUGUAGGGAGCGAAAGACUCUCUGUGCUGAAGCUAACGCGAUAAGUGAGCCACCUGGGGAGUACGUCCGCAAGGAUGAAACUCAAAGGAAUUGACGGGGGUCCGCACAAGCGGUGGAGCAUGUGGUUUAAUUCGAAGCUAACCGAAGAACCUUACCAGGGAUUGACAUGUAACUGAAGGUAGAGAAAUCUACUGGCCUGCCGUGAGGUAGGAGGUUACACAGGUGGUGCACGGUCGUCGUCAGCUCGUGCCGUGAGGUGUUGGGUUAAGUCCCACAACGAGCGCAACCCCUACAAUUAGUUACCAGCAAGUAAAGUUGGGGACACUAAUUGGACAGCCGCCGACGAGGCGGAGGAAGGAGGGGAUGACGUCAGAUAAGCGUGCCCCUUAUACUCUGGGCGACACACGUGCUACAAUGGGGAGGACAAAGGGAAGCGAAGCCGAGAGGUGGAGCGGAUCCGAAAAAACUCUCCGUAAUAUGGAUUGUAGGCUGAAACUCGCCUACAUGAAGCUGGAAUCGCUAGUAAUCGCAGGUCAGCCAAACUGCGGUGAAUACGUUCCCGGGCCUUGUACACACCGCCCGUCACGCCACCCGAGUUGGGAACACCUGAAGGCAGUA